UGGUGUAGCGGUUACCACUCUGGACUUCGAAUCCAGUGAUCCGAGUUCGAGUCUCGG
rnacentral:tRNA from 1 species